UGACAUCUGACCGUUCAGCACAGAGCCUCCCUGUAACCAGCUGCCAUCUGCCUGUAGAGAUACAGCACGAAAACAGGCCCUUCUGGCCCAAUGAAGUUGUAAGAUGGAACCAGAGCAUCCAGCGGAAACCAAUGAAGUGAAAUUGUGAAU